CAAUAAACUUGUUUCUCAAAUCAAGGCAUCAACAAAAAUUCCUGUUCUAGGCCAUGCUGAUGGAAUUUGCCAUGUUUAUGUUGACAAGUCUGCUGACAUGGAUAUGGCUAAGCGCAUUACUGUUGAUGCAAAAAUCGAUUAUCCUGCAGCCUGCAAUGCGAUGGAAACACUUCUUGUGCAUAAGGAUUUGGCACAAAAUGGAGGUCUUAAUGAUCUGAUUGUGGAACUUCAAACAAAAGGGGUUUCUUUAUAUGGUGGACCCAAAGCUAGCUCCCUGCUCAUGAUUCCAGAGGCACGUACAUUUCGUCACGAAUAUAGUUCACUAGCUUGCACUGUGGAAGUUGUUGAAGAUGUAUAUGCUGCGAUAGAUCAUAUACAUCAGCAUGGAAGUGCCCACACCGAUAGCAUCAUUACUGAAGAUCAGGAAGUUGCUGAAGUUUUUUUACGUCAGGUUGACAGUGCUGCUGUAUUUCACAACGCAAGUACAAGAUUUAGUGAUGGAUUCCGCUUUGGACUUGGUGCAGAG
rnacentral:misc_RNA from 1 species